ACAGUUAUGGGAGCACAUUUUUGAACACAGGCUCCCACCUUCAACUUAUCACUUCCUUACCUUUGCUGGGGUACCUGAUGACUUUAAAGAGACUGUUUCUUUGGAGAAGGUGGAAUACGCUUAAAGAUUGGUCUUGCCUUUAAAACACCAUUUUAAAAGAGACCAUUUGUUAGUGCCUGAAAUCUGUAACUGGCUUAAAAGCUCUGUCAGCUGGAAAGGAACCUGUCAGUGUGAUAAUGGAAAAGAAGAAGAUACAUCAGAGAGAGACAGAGGGUGAAAAUACCAAGGAUAGAGCAAGUCUGACAAACUCACGUUGAAUAACAAGAUCUUCAUGGCCUGGAUCCCUGAAAGACUGUGUGGAACAGAGCCCCUUGACAACCUGAAACCCCUACCUUCAUUCAGAUUGUUGUCUCUUCUGAGGAUUAAAGGAGGUAACUUAAGAAGAAGAGUUAAUGAGAAAAUGUCCAGUCUGAAGGAAAAAAGUGUAAGAAAUGAUUCCCAA
rnacentral:lncRNA from 10 species